rnacentral:rRNA from 1 species
GGGGGAUAACACUUAGAAAUAGGUGCUAAUACCGCAUAAGCGCACGGUUCCGCAUGGAACAGUGUGAAAAACUCCGGUGGUAUACGAUGGAUCCGCGUCUGAUUAGCCAGUUGGCGGGGUAACGGCCCACCAAAGCGACGAUCAGUAGCCGGCCUGAGAGGGUGAACGGCCACAUUGGGACUGAGACACGGCCCAAACUCCUACGGGAGGCAGCAGUGGGGAAUAUUGCACAAUGGGGGAAACCCUGAUGCAGCGACGCCGCGUGAGUGAAGAAGUAUCUCGGUACGUAAAGCUCUAUCAGCAGGGAAGAAAAUGACGGUACCUGACUAAGAAGCCCCGGCUAACUACGUGCCAGCAGCCGCGGUAAUACGUAGGGGGCAAGCGUUAUCCGGAUUUACUGGGUGUAAAGGGAGCGUAGACGGCAGCGCAAGUCUGGAGUGAAAUGCCGGGGCCCAACCCCGGAACUGCUUUGGAAACUGUGCAGCUCGAGUGCAGGAGAGGUAAGCGGAAUUCCUAGUGUAGCGGUGAAAUGCGUAGAUAUUAUGAGGAACACCAGUGGCGAAGGCGGCUUACUGGACUGUAACUGACGUUGAGGCUCGAAAGCGUGGGGAGCAAACAGGAUUAGAUACCCUGGUAGUCCACGCCGUAAACGAUGAUUACUAGGUGUCGGGGGGCCAAGGCCCUCCGGUGCCGCCGCAAACG